GACGUAGGGCGCAAGCGUUGUCCGGAUUUAUUGGGCGUAAAGAGCUCGUAGGCGGCCUGUCGCGUCGACCGUGAAAACCCGCAGCUCAACUUCGGGCUUGCGGUCGAUACGGGCAGGCUGGAGUUCGGUAGGGGAGACUGGAAUUCCUGGUGUAGCGGUGAAAUGCGCAGAUAUCAGGAGGAACACCGGUGGCGAAGGCGGGUCUCUGGGCCGAUACUGACGCUGAGGAGCGAAAGCGUGGGGAGCGAACAGG
rnacentral:rRNA from 1 species